rnacentral:rRNA from 1 species
UACGAAGGGGGCUAGCGUUGUUCGGAAUUACUGGGCGUAAAGGGCUUGUAGGUGGCCAACUAAGUCAGACGUGAAAUCCCUCGGCUUAACCGGGGAACUGCGUCUGAUACUGGAUGGCUGGAGUGUGGGAGAGGGAUGCGGAAUUCCAGGUGUAGCGGUGAAAUGCGUAGAUAUCUGGAGGAACACCGGUGGCGAAGGCGGCAUCCUGGACCAUAACUGACACUGAUAAGCGAAAGCCAGGGGAGCAAACGGG